GGCUCAGAGGAGCGUGAGGCAACGCCACGAUUGCUUCUUGCUUUGAGGGUUUUGUUUCAGGGCCGUGCCGUCGGGGGUUCCUAGUGAAGCUUUCAGGUUAACCUGUCUUCGACCACCACGACCAUGUGGAGAGUUAAAACUGAAAACAUUCACACAGUUGGUUAUUCUUCCGGGGGUCUCAUCGGAGCUGGAGCUGCCAACCUACACCACAGCCACAGCAACGCGGGAUCUGAGCCGGGUCUGCGACCUACACCACAGCUCACGGUAACACAGGACCCUUAACCACUGAGCGAGGCCAGGGAUCGAACCCACAAACUCAUGGAUCCUAGUCGGAUUCGUUAACCACUGCACCACGACGGGAACUCCGCUCCGAAACAUUUUCGCCGGCGGUUUUAGAGCCAGUUUUGGUACACUGGUGUCUCGAUAGAGCAAAGAACGUCCCAUCGCACACAAGGAGACGUCUCGCCAGAGCAGCCGUCACACCGCCAGCGACAGCCUUCCACCCUUGUCUCGGACACUUUCCUUUCUUUGCAAAGAUGGAAGUUUCAAACAGAACCUAAGACAUGAGCGUUGGCACGGCCCUGAGCCCCCUCAUAGUUGGGUGGGUCCCUUGUGUCCUGGAAUGGGGGCUGAGUGCCAACCCCUUCCUGGGCCCUGGGCCUGGCCCGCCUCCCCACCCCCAGCUCUGAAACUCCGAGUCUGUACUGCGGGGUCCCAGCGGCACAGGGAGCGAGCAGACCCGGCAGCGGUGUGAAGCUGGCAGGCCCCGUUCGGCCCCAAGAGCAGCCACAUCUGCCUCCCUGCCCCCCGCUGGCCGCGCCGCCGGGCCCGGGUCCUUGUACCAGACGGAGGAGCACGUGGCCACUGCCAGCUGCUCCAAAGGAGGACACAAGCGAGGCAUUUUUCUCUGGGUUUCCAAACCCAGCGGAGGGCAUGUCACAGGGUGAAUAAAGGCGAAACCAUCCCGGGUGCUGUCACAGCCGUUUCCGCCAGAAGAAGUCAGGUGGGUGGCUGCGGGGCUGACGGAGGCCCAAGGAGGAGGAGCCGGGCUCAGCAGUCUUGAUGGCUGGGCCAGCCGGCCUGGCAGAGCCGCAGCCCUCGCUCCCGUAGUGAGGACGGGGGAGAGGGGCCCCAGGUGCUGAUUGCUGAGCAGCGGAACUGCAGGUGGGUUUGGGGUUUUCUCCUAUGUUGCAUUUGUAAAAUUUACAGUGAAAACAUACAGUUGACCCCUGAAGAACACGGGGGCUGUGGCACCGACCCUCUGAGCAGUGGAAAAUCCCAGUGUGACGAAUGUAUGUCAGCUGUCCCUAUCCUCAGAGCCAGCCAACCCCCGACCAUACUUGCGUAGCAUUUACUUCUGAAAAAUUCCGAUGCAAGUGGGCCGUGGGGUUCAAACCCACGGUUGUACAAGGCUCCAGUGCGCCUUCAUAACCAAAAGCCCUCGGGGUGUACAGCAGCUCCGAGCUUCGGUCUAGUCUCGGGUGGGUGGAGCCGCCACCACACCCUGUUGAGAUUAUUCACUGGGAGGCCACUGCAGGACUGGUCCCUCGGCCUCUGCACGGUGCUGCCAGCUUCCUGGGAGCAAGGCCCUGGCCUUGGAUGCAGAUGACAAGGAAACAGCAGAUUGGCCACCCCCAAGGCUCCCAGCCUCAUCCCUGUGCUGGUCUCCCUCCCAAGUCUUCUGCCUUUUUGUUCCUCUUUUUUUCCAUCCUGUGAAGGCUGUGUAAACGAAUCUCCUGAAAACAGUGGACAGUCUUAGAAAAAGUCCCCUGUGUCCAGCAGGAGUUGAGUAGCCUUCACCUGCAGUUCCGGUAACUUUUGAACCUACAGCCUCACACUCUUAACAAGUGCUCCAUCCACUUGGGCCUGAACUGAAGGUGUGGCCUCCUUGCCAUUGCCAUGGGCUGAAAGCUGGCCUUCAAAAAUGUGCUGUUGCAGCAGCAGAGAGAUAAGUGCGUGAAGCCAGAAUUGGAGUUUUCAUGAGACUAUUGGAAGCGUAGGAAAUCAUACUUGCUUCAGAUUACGUCAGGGCUGAAGAAUGAAAAAUACACCUAUGAUAAGACUUGUUUGAGAAAACUGUGGGGCCCUCUCUGCAUGACACUGCCUGCCCCUACCUAACUAACGGUAGUGUCUCCUGGGACCUUUUGUUGGGUGUGUGGGUGGGCUCCCCCCACCUGUCCCCCAGGCAGUAGCAGCAGCAGUUAGGAGGCUGGAGCAAGGGCCCUGCAGUGACAGGAGCUGCAGGUGUGGCUUUGACCCUGUGCACCUGCCAGGUUGGGGCCCUGGACUACCCACUGCUCAGGUCCCAGUCCUGCUGGGACUCUGGCACUUGAGCCAAAGUGUCUUGAGCCAGGGGCACUGGGGCACAUGCAUGGUACACACUGCCCCUCGUGGUUUUGUAUUCGUGUCUCAGAAUUGUUGCCUUUGUGUUGACUCUCACCUCCAUCCGGUGGAGUCUUGAAAGUUGAGGUUGUGACAAAGUCACACCUUGCCAGACUCUGUCUUGUCCAAGAAAAUUUUCUUCGAGGGCAAAAUCAAUACUUUGUUUUUAAAGGAGUUAGAAUUCUUAACUCAAGUCCUUAUUUUAUUUUUUUUCUUCACAGAAAUGGAAAAAAAAAAAUGAACCUCUUAUUUAUAAAAGUGCACUUACUCUUUGCUCAAAACUUAAACACUCAUUUCUAUUCUUAAAACCUAGAAAAUGGCUCAGGGCCUUAGAAAUGAGAUUGGUUGCCUGCUGAAGGUCCCGGGGGGGCACAGGCCCCUCCCUGGCUGUGGGCCCUUGGACAGGGUGGAGCUGGCAAAGGUUUUUAGGGGCCGCUGUCCCAGAAUGAGUUUUUGGCUUAAAACUGACAGCUUCAGCAGGAAGGCUUUGUGCUGGGAUGUGACCAGAGUGAGGACUGAGCGGGGCGCUGGGGGGCACUGACGGCAGCUUGCCAAGUGCAGGGACACUCAGCUCUGGGUCCCGCUCCUGGGCGUCUCUCCCUCGCCCCCUUGAAGAGAAGGGUGGGCCCUGGCAGGGUCGCCACGCCCCAGACCUGCAGGCCGGCUCUGCCUGAGUGUUCAACGGGUCGAGUGGCCUGUUCGCUGUGGUGUUUGUGGUCAGCCUGCCUGUUUAAAAGAACAUGACAAGCCCGCAGUGGCACUUUAUGGCAUUUGUAUUUGGUGCUAGUUGGAGCGUCAAGUCUUUUCUCAGAAAAAGCAAGGCUUCCCACGGCCACAGCGAGGACUGGCCCUGCUCCCCGGGGCCCAGGACACCUGGUCACAGCUGCUUCCCCGGCAGGUGGCCCUGACUUCGCUCUUCCUGUUUGCGGUUCAACAGCUGCUGGGAGUGAUGUUGGUACUUCUGGUACUUCUGCUGCUGGUACUUCUGUUUUGAGGGCUGAUUUUUAAUUGGCACCUGCCGCACCCAAGGUGCUGGGCUGGACAUUUCCAUCGUCGGCGAAGGGCGUCCUGAAUAGCACUUUGGCGGAGGGACCGUGUUAGUGCACUGAGUGCAGAGCGGAUUGGAGCCGGGCGUCUGAGGCGCCGGGGCCUCGGGCUCCCGCUGCCGGGCUGUCCUCUGGGUGAGGUCAGGGUGCGCGCCAGGCGCCGGCUCCCGCAGGAGGCCUCUUGCCAGCCAGGUCUGCUGCCCUCGGGAGCUCUGAUGGGGUCAGUGCGCCGGACUGGCUCCCAUCCAGGGAGGCAGUGGUCUUCUGUCUGGCCGUCACACCGGACCCCGGUUCCAGGGUUCUGGCCGUCACAUCACGGGUCAGUCCUGCCUCCCGUUUGUGCUCCUGGUUUUCUCCAGGUGGUGUUCGUCCAGGAACAUUUCUUGUCCUCAUUUAGCCGUUGGUCAGGCUUUCAGGCCAUCAGGUCUUCCAAGUCUGAGCGCUCCUGGGGGCCGGUCAGGAGGGGCCCCACGGCUCUGAGACCAGAGCUCCUCAUCUGGAAGCCCAGCUGCCCGGACGCGAAACAAGAAACAAGGGGAUAGGCUCAGGGCUCAGGGCAGCAGCUCUGACCGCAGGAGGGUCACCUGACCUUGCACGGCCCCUCUGCUGGGACGUCCAUCCUCUGCAGAGCAGCCACCUGGAGAGCGGGGACAAGCGCAGGGCCCGUGAGGAGGAAGGUGUGAGCUGGGAGGCUCUCUUGGUUAAGGCAGCGCUGUUGCUGGGCAUCCGUUUGCUCCCCUCCACGUGGCCUUCUCCCCAGAGUGCAGAGUUGUUCUGGAGAAACCAGAUAGGAAUUUGGUUGACGGCAGAAACCGCCCCUUCUUCAGAUAAACAGGCAGCUUUCUGCACAGAGACUGUGCCCCACGUGCGGCUCCAUCCCUGUGCGGCCCGGGAAGGGGCCAUCUGCUGGGCGAGGGGCCCCGGGCCGGGCUCCAGGAUUCUCCCCUCCAUCCCCUGGUCCCUGCAGAGGGACCUUUCACCUCUCACUUUUUGGUGAAGAGGCCUCACUGCUAAUUAGAAUACGUGUACAUUUCCUGCUAAUUUCCUCUUUG
rnacentral:lncRNA from 1 species